GGCAGAGACAGCCGCUGGGUGUUGCAGGUCAGGAGGGGAAGGGGAAGGGGACGGGGGAGAAGGCACACGUGCUUGCAGCCUUCCUCCCGUCCCCUCCCCUCCCCCCAGCAGUCACCUGGGGCCUGGAGGAGACGCCAAGGGAGCUUCUGGUCCGGUGGGAAACACAGGAAUCUCUGCAGUGGACCUCACUCACCUGAACAGCUGCUGGGGCUUCCAACGCUCCUUUCAGCAGCUCUGGGGUUGAUGAUGUGGACUGUCUGCUUAAAACAUCCUAAAGUUACAUGGAGAUUGCUGCAGUGAGAUCUGCAGUUGUCAUCUUCCUAGCAGACCCAGGCUGGAAGCACCCUGGAAGUCGACCAUCAUGUUUUGGACUGGGUGGGAGGACAGGAGCUCAGGCCAGGAGUACUCUGCAAUUCUGUGGGACAGAAGAAGAAAAAUGAGUAUCUCAUAGAAUCCUGAACUGUGCCCUGCUUGAUAAAUAUUAAGAAACCCGGAGGACUUAGCCCCAUCUUAACACAGACUUCUUAUUCAUGAAGAUUAUGUCAUGUUUUGAAUCCUCUGGCAAUAUAUGAUCUUUAGCUUGUUUUCAUAUAUAUAAAGUUUACAGGUCACACACAAAAAGAAAGGGAAGGGAAAAUUCCAUCCGUGUUUCAUUUGGUGUUUAUAUUCCUGAUAACUAAAUAUCAGCAAUUAAAGUUCAGCCUGCAGAAAAGAAAAAUGGAAAUGUUAAGAUCCAUGAACUGAAUAGGGUACCUGAAGUAAUAUUCAUGUGUAAUAAGGAUUUUAAAAGUGUUUAGUUCAUGUAACUCAAAAACCAGCAUGACUAGAGGAUUUCCUCCAGAUCUUAGCAGUAAAUACAGCAAAUUCCACAAUAUUCUUAUCUUGCACACUUAUCCCACCACACUCCGAAGGCUGUUUGGAUAACAAAAUGUUUCCAGGUUGCUUUUAUUUCCACUCUUUCCUGGUAGCAUUUGAUAACUUUAAAUCUUCUCUUGAACCUUUCUUCUCUCCUCCCCCCAAUACCCCUCUCCACUUCCUGGGAAAUGUUUUUCUUCCAGAAACUGCAGAGCAAAAUGGUGUUUUCAAAGAGAAACUAUUCUUCUGACCUCUUCUUACAUCAGCUUGUUUUUCUAUGCCUCUCUUUCCCCUUUGCUUCAUACCUGCUGAAAGAAUGAACUGAUACAGGAUGUGGGUCUUUUUCCUCUUAAAAAAUACCAAAGGAAGAAUGUCAUCAUUAAACUACAGGAAAAAAUAAUGAAAAACAUGAUUGCACUCGCCAUUAUCCCUGAAGUGACUGUGGUUCUUUUUUGACACAGAGGACCGUGUACCAUUAUCAAACGCCAUGCAGAUAGAUAUAGAUAUGCAUACAAGAUGCCAGACAGUACAAUACUUCUCAAAGGAAUUAUGUUAAACUACUACCAUAACCAGCAAUAUACAUUCAAAAGUGUGGAGUUUGUUACUUUUCAUAUCAUGAUAAAGAUGGGUUUUUUGGAAUCCAAUAAUUGCAAUUAAGAGAUAAUAGGAAGAAUAAGUAACACAAGUUUAUCUAGAAAGGUAAAUAUUGUACAAGCAUUCUUGCUCUACAAAGCUAAUUGCCUGUGCAGGGAAAAAAAAAAAAACACCAAAUCAAACAGCUCUUUCAUACACCUCAUAAAUUAACUAAUUUUAUGAAAAACCUCCUGCAGAUGUUGAUAGGCACCUUGAAAAAAUAAGAAAAGACAAGUCUAAACAGAUACACAAAAUGCACAUAUGGGACACACGACGAUCAAAUACACAGCUAAGCCUAUACAGUACUUCUUUGCGCCUCUGCAGCUGACUUCGCUUGAUCAGAUUGACACUGAUAAUAGAAUGUUCAGUCCAUUGUGCUUGUCAAUAAAUUAAAGGAAUUCAGGAGAUUUUUGUUGUGCAGAAGAUCUGUAUGCACGCAGGCUAGUCUAACAACACUUGACAGAGCUUUAAUUGUUUUGUUUACCUCAAUGUUUAAGUUUAGCAAUGUGAGAUUCCAAUUCUCAUAGCAUUCAUUUUGAUGUCCUUUCUCUAUUGACCAAUUAUUUCAUUAAACUGCACUUCAUUAAUCCUUAAAACACAUUAAGCCUCCUGGUCCUAUGUAUGAAGUUGUUAGGGGCACCACCACGAUUUGAUUUUAGACAUUCAGAUCCUAUUCUUGUUUAAUGGACCAAACUGGCAAGAAAUCCAGUAUAUUAGCUCUCACUUAAAGCUAGGCAUCCCAUAAUAUGGCACAUACAGUGCUUUAUUU